GAUUUUCCCGGUGAUCCUGCCGGACCCCACUGCUAUCGAGAUGGGACUAAGGUAUGCUAGUCGAACGACCAGAACUAUGUCUGGGAGUGGCACACUGCUCAGUAACACGUAGCUAACCUACCCUUAGGACGUGGAUACCCCCGAGAAAUUGGGGUUAAUCCGCGAUAGAUGUAAUGUCCUGGAAUGGUAUUACGUCUAAAGGUAUUUCAUACAUGUUUGAAAUAUGCCUAAGGAUGGGGCUGCGGCCGAUCAGGCUGUUGGUGAGGUAAUGGCUCACCAAACCUUUGACCGGUACGGGCCAUGAGAGUGGUAGCCCGGAGAUGGACACUGAGACAAGGGUCCAGGCCCUAAGGGGCGCAGCAACCGCGAAACCUCCACAAUGCACUCACGUGCGAUGGGGCUAUCUCGAGUGCCACCUGAUGAAGGUGGCUUUUCCUUGGUCUUCAAAGCCUUGGGAAUAAGAGGGGGGCAAGACUGGUGUCAGCCGCCGCGGUAACACCAGCCCCUCGAGUGGUGGGGAUGAUUAUUUGGCCUAAAGCGUCCGUAGCCGGCCGUGAAAGUCUUCCGUUAAAUCCAGCGUCUCAAGCGUUGGACCGCGGGAGAUACUACAUGGCUAGAGAGUGGGAGAGGUCAGCGGUAUUCUGGGGGUAGGGGCGAAAUCCUUUGAUCCCCGGAGGACCACCAGUGGCGAAGGCUGCUGACUAGAACACGUCUGACGGUCAGGGACGAAAGCUGGGGUAGCGAACCGGAUUAGAUACCCGGGUAGUCCCAGCCGUAAACGAUGCAUGCUAGGUGUUGGGUUGGCCACGAGCCACCCCAGUGCCGCAGGGAAGCCGUUAAGCAUGCCGC
rnacentral:rRNA from 1 species